rnacentral:snRNA from 1 species
GUACUCUCUUUGGCAGCACGUAUACUGAAAUUGAAAUGGCACAGAGGAGAUUAGCAUGGCCCCUGUGCAAGGAUGACAUGCAAAUUUGUGAAGCAUUCCAUAUAAUA